rnacentral:rRNA from 1 species
CAGUCGCCACGGUAAUACAGAGGGUGCAAGCGUUAAUCGGAAUUACUGGGCGUAAAGCGCGCGUAGGUGGUUUGUUAAGUUGGAUGUGAAAUCCCCGGGCUCAACCUGGGAACUGCAUCCAAAACUGGCAAGCUAGAGUAUGGUAGAGGGUGGUGGAAUUUCCUGUGUAGCGGUGAAAUGCGUAGAUAUAGGAAGGAACACCAGUGGCGAAGGCGACCACCUGGACUGAUACUGACACUGAGGUGCGAAAGCGUGGGGAGCAAACAGGAUUAGAGACCCCGGUAGUCCCUGUCUCUUAUAC